GACGGAGGAUGCAAGCGUUAUCCGGAAUGAUUGGGCGUAAAGCGUCCGCAGGUGGCAGUUCAAGUCUGCUGUCAAAGACCGGGGCUUAACUUCGGAAAGGCAGUGGAAACUGAACAGCUAGAGUAUGGUAGGGGCAGAGGGAAUUCCUGGUGUAGCGGUGAAAUGCGUAGAUAUCAGGAAGAACAUCGGUGGCGAAGGCGCUCUGCUGGACCAUAACUGACACUCAGAGACGAAAGCUAGGGGAGCGAAUGGG
rnacentral:rRNA from 1 species